UCGUGUGAGACAUUUAAGCGAGGAAUCCCGUUCAACCCUCAGGCCGAGCAGGAAUCCACACGGUCCCGGUCAGCUGGUGCGGAAACGGGCAGAAGGCAGGAGCGCGCUGGGGUCACAGGCCAGCGCGAGGGAAACGAACCCGUGUCUGCAGAACCCUGUCGCCCUCGCGUUCCCUCAUUGUCUCAGUCAUCCUACAACAACCCUGCAGAAUCAAUGUUUUUGUAAGACUUGCGUUUUCCUUGGUAAUAUAAAUAACACAUGUUCUUUUCUUUACGGGAAAGUUUGAAAAUUUAGAAAGGCGUAGAGAAAAUUAAAAUCGCCUGUAUCCUUGCCACGCGGAAAAAUACACAGGAGUAUGUUUUGUUUACAUUCUCCCGAUGUUUAGACAGAUAAGUAGAUAGAUCUGAGAGGGAGAGAUGACCUUGCAGAGGCACAUACUGAUGGAAUACCAAUUUUUUGAAACAAAACUGCGGUAAAGGAGUGAGUUCUGUUUUACAAGACUGUUUGCGUGACAUUUACAAUGCAGUUAUUACCCUCGUUUUCCAUAUGAGGCAUUUGAUCUCAGACACGUGAAAGGACUCGCCUGGGGUCGCACCGGUGGGUGGGACCCACUUUCCUUCCUGUCCCUUCCCCUUUCCUCUCUCUCUCUGUCCUCUCUCUCUCCGUCAGGUCACAUUCUGGGCAUAAAUCAACGAGUGCAUUUGCCUGUUUCCUUGUGCGCCAGAUUGCGGAAGGUCAAUGUUCCAGUCCUGAGUCUGUGACUCACUCAGGCAGCUCAGCUUUUGCUUUCCCUCAUCCAUGAAAUGGGUACAUUUUGAUUCAAAGUUCUAGGGAAUCUGAAAGUGUUGGGUGAAGAAAUUGGUAGAGCCUAGGUGUGGGUUUUGAAAGCUAGCUUGCCUCUUAUUUUCUGUGAAAGCUUGGGACAGUCACUUAACCUGAAUCUCGGUUUGCACAUCGGCCACAGGAGGACGGUGACAUUGACAGUGAUAGUGGACUUGUGGUGAGGAUAAUCGUAACGAUAGUAGGAGAUAUUACCGAGUGCUUGCUGGCCGUCACGGGCUGUGCUGAGCCCUUUCCAUGAAUUCAUUUAUUUCCUUCUUAGAACAACUCGGUGAGGUUUAGGAAGAGUGACUGUUCCUAUUUUACAGAUAAAUCUGAGAUAAAGUGAAGAAACUGAGGAUUGAGGUCAUGCAUCUGGGAAAAUGGGUCUAAGAUCACAAAGACCCUUUGAAACCGGGAACCCUUCUUUUUCUACACAGGACUCAAGCCAGGCUUUUAACAAAGCUGGUGUAGGACAUUUUUCUCUAUUACUGUCCCUGGAGACGUAUCCCAGACAACAAAGGAUAAAAUGAAACAACUUUUCACUUUCUUAAAAACAAGGAAAAGUCUCAGCCCCAAGCCAUGGGACAUAACGUGUAUCUUCCAAAACCUGUGAAGAGCAGGACACCAGGAGGGGGUCCAGAGCUGGCAUCCACCUCCUUGGACCUUGAGCAGGAUGCAUAUGUCCCUGAGGUAAAGACCAGAUAUGAGGUAGAGACCUACCUCAGGGUAAACAAAAUCACGUGGAAGAACAGAGGAGUUCUGCACAGCAGUCUGUGUCCAUGUGAUGUCCCAGUUCAUUACUCUCUCCCCUUGGCCCAGGUCAGCACAUGACGAGCUCCAUCCAAUCCAAAAAGGAAGAGGCCACAGAACAGGUGACACAGAAAAAUGUUAAAUGAUAUAAUUGAAGAAAACUUUACCGAAAUAAGUAAUGGGCUUCUCAGAAGGAAAAUGUGAUAUGGAAUGAGCAGCACCAAUGAACGCUGCUGUGAAAAUCCUGAAGUUCAGGAGUAAGAAAGGAGCCCUAUUGGCUUCUAGGAGAACAUGCAAAUUUCAAGGCAUAAAGGCAUAUUCUAGAAUUUUCCACAACUGAAGUCAGUGCUGGAAAAUGAAUAUCUACAAAGUGGUGAAGAAUAAUGUCUGGGAUGAUGUUUACCAAAUAUUGAUGACCACGGCCACUUGAGUAGUCGAAUUUUGGAUAAUUUUUUCCCCGCUGGCUCUUUUGCACUUUUUUGGUGUUGCUGGAAUAUUUUCACAAUGCUCAUAUGUGAAGUGUAUUCACUGAAUAAAGCCCAUAUUCCCCACCAAAAAAUAAAGCCAUCACAAUGGAAGAAAAGGCAAAGCUAAUUUCUAACAUUGGAGUUGCCUAUCUGGCCACCCAUUCUCUGGACUCAGAUGCUAAUCAUGGCUGUAAAUUGACUUUACCCAUCCCAGCAGAUUUCCCCAAGAAUAUCUGAAGUGCUUUACAAUUCAGGUUGAAUCUAACGGGGACGGAGCCCAUACAUCACAGUAAAGGACAAGUGCACAAACCCUGGUACCCCUUUCCUUGGAGAUUUUCAGACACGGAGGCAGGUAUGAUUACAAUAAACGCAUCUAUCGUGACUCAUUUAGACACUGAUUUGGUGUCCUCUACUGAGUCACUUCCCAUAGUAUCCUGUAAUGAUAAUGUGCAAUUUAAACACAAUUUAAAGGGGCCCCUGGGUGGCUCAGUCGGUGGAGCGUCCGACUUCGGCUCAGGUCAUGAUCUCACGGUCCGUGAGUUCAAGCCCCGCGUCAGGCUCUGUGCUGACAGCUCAGCUCUUGGAGCCUGCUUUGGAUUCUGUGCCUCCCUCUCUCUGACCCUCCCCUGUUCACGCUCUGUCUCUCUCUGUCUCAAAAAUAAAUAAACGUUAGAAUGAUUUAUUAAAAAAAAUAAAUGCAAUUUAAAGAACACUGUUUAUUUGCAUUCUGGUAAAUACCUUCACAUGCACGACCUCAAGAACGAUCCGUGGGAGAGGUGGUGCCUCACCUAAUUUACAGAUGAGGAGAACAGAGGUUCAAAUGACUUGCAAAGGAGUUUAACCUUCCAGCCGGAAAUCUGAACCAAGAUCCUGGUUUGUAGGUGAGUGUGUGGGGACCAGGACGUUAGGAAUGGACUUCAGAAUUUAUUUCCGAAGUUAGUGGUUUGUCCCUUUCUGGAGCCCUGCCACAUCUGAGGAUGUGUCAUAGACCCUCUCUGCAUCCAUAUCAUUUGGGCAGGAUUGACUUCAUUCCACUAGUCCAAGAUUGUGCACGUGACCUGCACACGGGCUCACUGUGCAUCCCAUUGCUGUAGCACCCUGAUGAUUAUUUCUGGGAUGAAUUAUGACCCUAGAUGGUCCAUGGGAGUGAGCACUGGGGCUUUUUUCCGGUGCAAAGAGGGACCCGAUCUUCUUUGAGUAUAACAGCAGCAAGGAUGACAGAAGCCUCGACCUGCUAAGAACCACCACAGGAAUCCCAAGAAUAAAGCCAACACAGGGGAGAAAGAGCCGAGAGCUGGAGAUAGACUGUGUUCCCAUUGCUUCGCUGAAGCUCCUGGAUCCAGCCAUGCCUGAAUCUAUUCACCACAGAUUUUGGUGACACACGAGACAAUGAGUCCUCUUUCUGCCUUAUUGAGUUGGAUUUCGGACGCCUGAGGUGGUGUGGCCCUUAGGCAUUUGGAAACACCACAUGUGUCGGAGCAGAGGUCGUGACUGGAUCUCCUGGCUCUCAGUGUAGCUUCCUUCCAUUGAACUCUCUGGGAUGCCUUGCAAUAAAACUCACACGACAUUUCGGUCCCCCCCCCCCCGGAGGCGACUUCGUUUGUGAAAGAGGAAGACUCACUCAUUUUUGAACCCUGUGUCUCAGGAAUGACUUUCCCACGAGAACUGAACUGCAGAGGAUGGGUGAAUCAGAGCUAAAAGGUUGUCACUUGGAAAGUUUUGUUUUAAAUGAGCUAAAUUAAAGGAAUAGUCUCUCCCUUUUAAUGCGCAUAUAAAAUCACUUCACUUUCCUGGUUAACAAUGUAAGUCCCAUUCUCAUUAUCAGAAGCAUAAAAAUGAGUGAGGUGACAGUUUCUUUUUAAAAUGCAAAGUGUUACAUGCCAGAAGUUACGAGAAAUUAGCUGGCAAUUCUCCCUCAGUGCAGGUAUAAAAGGGUGACUUUCUUUCUUUUGGUCUUUUCCACGAUUAUGAUCCAAUCUUCUUGCCUUGAAAACAGGAAGGGUUACGUGUACCAUCAGCCAAAGCAAACAAGAAGCCACACACAAACUCCUGCCUUUUUACGGAAACAAAGAGGAGGCAGUGAGCUGUUCAAAAGGAAAGUUACAAAUGCAAUGAUAGGAAGACCAUGUGACACACAUUAAUUCAAAAGGGCCCCUUUAUUGGAUUGCGAUCCGAUUGUGUUUACAAAUAUAUAGCCAGAAGGCUUUUAAUUUGGGGGCAAUUUCAUUGUUCAUAGAUAUAUAUCCAGCUACAGAUAUACAUCUAUGAAAUUAUGUGCUUCUGUGUUUUAAAUGAGAUACAGUUCCUCUCCUUUAAUGCAAUAAUGUUUCCUAUUUUAUGAUCUACAGUUGCCCAAAGUUGGGGCAAUUUUAUAACAAUCUUAUUUGAAAUAUCAUAAUAGAUGAAAGAUGUAAAUACUGUGAUGUUUAGAGACCCGCUUGGAAGUUGAAUUCAUUGGGAUUUAGGAAAACCACCGGAGCGAACAAGGACAGACUUGAUUAAAAUCGCACGGAUUGGGUUCCUCUUGCAAUUCCAGCCACUUCUCGCCUCCUUGCUGUUUAUUUUUCUUUUAAGCCCGAGCUCAAUAAAUAAACCCAGCUAACAAUUAAAAAGUCCUCAAAUGAUUCUAGAUGGAAAAAUUCAAAAAUAGCCUGGCUGGCCCGGCUUUUGCUGUGGAGUUUGAUUAAAUUCUCUAAUUGCAUUCGAACGGGCGGGGAAGAUCACAAUGUGUUGGUGCUUUUAGCAUGAGCCGCCGAUGAAAAACUUCAAUUACCACUAAAAAUGGAAAAUGGUCAUAAUAGAUAAAUGCUCUUCCUAUUUGAGAGCAGCCUUUUAAAAAUUACGUAACUGGUUUGGGUGAGAUACUAUUCUAUUUCCUCUUGUGCUCUGCCGAUCGAUGUAUGCCUUCCCUCCAGGCUAGGAACCCCUCCGUCCUCUGGGGGAGGCCUUUUGCCAGCAGCUGGCUUGGCUAAGGCAGCCCUUUUCCUGGCCAGAGACUGAAUGUCCUCCGGCAGAGAUGAUGGAAACUGAAGGUUUCUUGGAUAGAAGGGCGAACAAAGACCGAGGAAGGUGGGUACCUUUGGAGCAGCCCUGCGGUCUACUGUUGACUUGGACCCCGCUGGGGAAGGUGGGUGAAUUAGGGGCGGGGCAGAGGGCAGAAAAAUUGCCAGAGAGUUGCCAAUUUUCAAGUCCCGCUUUAAGCCAAAUGUGCCCCCAUCUUCUGGAAAAAUGGAUUGCUCGUCACAUCGGGCUCGGCUCAAACGUUACCUCCUCCAGGAAGUCCUCCCCCCACCAUCUCCUCUGUGCUCCCAGGAUGCUGUGUACCGUCUACUGUGGCACGGUCUGCAUUUGAUGGGAUCCUGGUCCCGACCACCUCUUGCCUCCCCUUUGCCCCCUUGGGAGCUCCCCAGGGCCAGAGCCCAUAUCUGGGUAUUCUGUGUCCAGCCGUGUAGUUCCCUGGGGCUGUUCAUGCCACCCCUUCUGUGUCUCUCCCCCUCAC